AGUGAACGCUGGCGGUAGGCCUAACACAUGCAAGUCGAACGGCAGCACAGUAAGAGCUUGCUCUUACGGGUGGCGAGUGGCGGACGGGUGAGGAAUACAUCGGAAUCUACUUUUUCGUGGGGGAUAACGUAGGGAAACUUACGCUAAUACCGCAUACGACCUACGGGUGAAAGCAGGGGAUCUUCGGACCUUGCGCGAUUGAAUGAGCCGAUGUCGGAUUAGCUAGUUGGCGGGGUAAAGGCCCACCAAGGCGACGAUCCGUAGCUGGUCUGAGAGGAUGAUCAGCCACACUGGAACUGAGACACGGUCCAGACUCCUACGGGAGGCAGCAGUGGGGAAUAUUGGACAAUGGGCGCAAGCCUGAUCCAGCCAUACCGCGUGGGUGAAGAAGGCCUUCGGGUUGUAAAGCCCUUUUGUUGGGAAAGAAAAGCAGAAGGUUAAUACCCCGCUGUUCUGACGGUACCCAAAGAAUAAGCACCGGCUAACUUUGUG
rnacentral:rRNA from 1 species